GCGCUUGUGCGCCCGCCGCCUGGGGCUCAGCCGGGGCCGGGCUCUGCCUGAGGGGGGCCGAGCUGUUGGGGUCAUAGGCUCAUUCCCGUGUGGACGGAAGGGGCCUGGGGCUUGAACCCGAGUCCGAGUUUACGUACUGUGUAGUCGGGUACGUAGCAGCAGGAACAGCCGGGGCCUGCGAUCCCUCCGCCUCCCCCACCGCCUGCAUGGCGCGUCCCCCAGAUCCGGGGGAUUUUUCUAUUGACAAGAUCUGCCAGGCAAGCUUGGAAUCUGGAAGUUCAUAUUACUCAACUAUUGUUCAGCAUUCAACUAUUGCUGUCUACUUGUGAAAGGCGAACUAAGACUUUUUGGUUGCACUUGUUGACAUGUGGGUAAUUGUGAAGAAUUUCUAUGUUCCAUCUGAAUUUCUUCUUUCAUCUUUAAGGAAGAUGCUUGAAAAUUGUUUCUUUACCUUAACCCCCUCAAUGAAAAAGAGGAAUCUAGUUGCUGAUGCAAUGCUUUUUAUAGUGGAAAAAGUAGUAGUGAAGGCAAGAAAUGUGUCUCAAUGCAUUUGUUUCUAAUACAAUCUGUGAAUCUUGGGCGAUUGCUUUUUGGAGACUGUUGUAGAAUCCUCUUCAUUUGUAUUGGUAAUAAACAUGAUAUGCUGCCCUUGAUUUAAU
rnacentral:lncRNA from 1 species